AGCUUUGCGCAGUGGCAGUAUCGUAGCCAAUGAGGUUUAUCCGAGGCGCGAUUAUUGCUAAUUGAAAACAGUAGUGUUCAGAAAUGG
rnacentral:snRNA from 11 species